AACUUUCAGCAACGGAUCUCUUGGCUCUCGCAUCGAUGAAGAACGCAGCGCAAUGCGAUAAGUAAUGUGAAUUGCAGAAUUCAGUGAAUCAUCGAAUCGUUGAACGCACCUUGCGCUCCUUGGUAUUCCGAGGAGCAUGCCUGCUUGAGUGUCAUUAAUAUAUAAAUCAAUCUUCUCGUGAUGUGUGGUUUGGAUGUGGGGGUUUGCUGGCAGCCUCUUUGAGGAUUCAGCUCCCCUGAAAUGCAUUAGCAGAACAAACCCGUUCAUUUGUGUGAUAAACUAUCUACGCUAUUGAAUGUGAGGUGGCAGUUCAGCUUUCUAACGGUCUUUGGACAAAUUCAUCAUUAAUGUGACCUCAAAUCAGGUAGGACUACCCGCUGAACUUAAGCAUAUCAAUAAGCGGAGGCU
rnacentral:misc_RNA from 1 species